rnacentral:rRNA from 14 species
UAUGAAUAAGCACCGGCUAACUCCGUGCCAGCAGCCGCGGUAAUACGGAGGGUGCAAGCGUUGUCCGGAUUUAUUGGGUUUAAAGGGUGCGUAGGCGGGCCUUUAAGUCAGUGGUGAAAGCCCAUCGCUUAACGAUGGAACUGCCAUUGAUACUGGAGGCCUUGAAUUUAGUUGAGGUAGGCGGAAUUUAUGGUGUAGCGGUGAAAUGCAUAGAUACCAUAAAGAACACCAAUAGCGUAGGCAGCUUACUUGAGUAUAACUGACGCUGAGGCACGAAAGCAUGGGUAGCGAACAGGAUUAGAUACCCUGGUAGUCCACGCCGUAAACGAUGGAUACUAGCUGUGCGGA